UACGUAGGGUGCAAGCGUUGUCCGGAAUUAUUGGGCGUAAAGAGCUCGUAGGCGGCUUGUCGCGUCGAUUGUGAAAGCCCGGGGCUUAACUCCGGGUCUGCAGUCGAUACGGGCAGGCUAGAGUGUGGUAGGGGAGAUCGGAAUUCCUGGUGUAGCGGUGAAAUGCGUAGAUAUCUGGAGGAACACCGGUGGCGAAGGCGGCAUCCUGGACCAACACUGACGCUGAGGAGCGAAAGCCAGGGGAGCAAACGGG
rnacentral:rRNA from 1 species